rnacentral:rRNA from 1 species
AUGCGCUGCGGGCGCGGCUGCAGCUUCCUCCGUCCAGGCGUCCACCCGAUGCCGCUCCUCGCCACCCCACCCUAUAUAACGCCGCGCACGUCAGCGGCCACCGCGGGCCCCGCCACUGCCACCUCUUCCGGUACCUGCUCCCUCCGGGUCCGCCUCCGCGCACCAGGGAGAUCCGCCGCCUCUUCCUCCUCCCGGCUCCCUCGCGCCAUGGCCGCCACCGGAGCCGAUGCCGCCGCCGCUCCCCCGUCCCUGCUCGUCUUUUCAGGUGGAACAGCAUUUAAUGGCGUCGUAGAAGAGUUGAAGAAAGUGACUACCCGGGUUGCGCAUGUCCUACCAGUUUCUGAUGAUGGUGGAAGCACAGCUGAGAUUGUUCGUGUGCUUGGUGGACCUGCUGUGGGUGACAUAAGAUCAAGAUGCUUGAGACUGUCCGAUGAAAGCACUUUGGAAGCACUCUCCGUCCGGAGAUUGCUUGGGCACCGUUUGCCUCUUGAUCCUUCAGAAGCAAAGCUGGAGUGGUACCAUAUUGUGGAAGGAGAACACUCUUUAUGGGAUGGUGUCUCUCGUCCCUACAGGGAAACAAUCCGUGCAUUUUUGGUCUACUUCCAUAAUGAGAUCCUUCGGCGACCAGUUGAAACAUUUUGCUUCACGAAUGGCAGCAUUGGGAAUUUCUUUUUUGCUGGCGCACGCAUAUUCUUCCAGUCUUUGGAUGCUGCGAUCUUUUUGUUUUCACGUGUGUCACAAAUCCCUGCGGAAAGUCUUGUGCUUCCAGUAAUAUCCACAAAUGACAGGCUUACUCUGGGGUGUGAAUUAUGGGAUGGAACUAUUAUCCGAGGCCAAAAUGAAAUAUCACAUCCAAGCAAUGGCCGUAGAGAAGUUGUUGACAAGGACUGUAAUUCAUGCAGCGCACUUCCUUCAAGCAUCAAGCGCGUCUUUUACAUGUCAAGUGAAGGUUGCAACCUAUUGCAUGAGGUGUUUCCUGAAGCUAACCAUACAGUUUUGGAGCAGCUAAGUAAGGUGGAUUGCAUUGUAUAUGCGAUGGGGUCGCUAUUUACAUCAGUUUGUCCAUCACUGGUACUGCGUGGCAUUGGUGAGACUAUAGCAUCAAGGUCCAUUCCCAAGGUACUUCUUUUAAAUGGAUCACAUGAUAGAGAAACUAUUGGGCUGUCUGCUUCUGGCUUUGUGACUGCAAUUACGGAUUCUCUAAAUCGGACAUAUGGUGAUCCUGACAAAAGUCUAAAGUAUCAUCCCAAAGACUAUGUUAAUGCCAUAUUGGUUCCUGAAGGAGGCCAAAUUCCUUUAGAUGUUGAAAAUUUGGCAUCUAAAGGAAUUUUUCAUGUGUUAACCGUGAAAUCUGUACACGACACGAAGGUGGGUGUCAUAUUUGAUCCAGUGUCUUUAAUCCAAGCUCUGACCGGUCUGAUAUCCGAGCACAUGGAUGCACGCCUCGCGGAACCUGACCCUCUAACUGAAAACGUGACGUCUGUAUGCUGA